rnacentral:rRNA from 1 species
UACGUAGGGUGCGAGCGUUGUCCGGAAUUAUUUGGGCGUAAGAGCUCGUAGGCGGUUUGUCACGUCUGCUGUGAAAUCCCGAGGCUCAACCUCGGGCCUGCAGUGGGUACGGGGCAGACUGGAGUGCGGUAGGGGAGAAUGGAAUUCCUGGUGUAGCGGUGGAAUGCGCAGAUAUCAGGAGGAACACCGGUGGCGAAGGCGGGUCGUCUGGGCCGAUACUGACGCUGAGGAGCGAAAGCGUGGGGGAGCGAACAGG